rnacentral:lncRNA from 1 species
GAGGUUCCUGUGACUUAGAUCCUAAUUCAGAGAUGGAAGUACCAGGCUCAUCUUCCACCAUCUCUGAGAAGCAGCCUCGGAAGCAAGAGGGGCUGAGCAACACUAGAACAGACUCAGUCAAGCAGAGUCUCAUCUCAUCUGAGGAAUGGCUUCAGCUGCAUGGGCUUAAGAGCAACAAAUUGACCUUGAAACAGAUUUUAUCACAGAUUGGAUUCCCACAUUGUGAAGAUUAUGUGGUGUCUCUGGGGAGACUUGUGGCUUCCCGGUACGCAAACGGCCUGUUUCCACGGAUCUACACGACCGAAGACGGCAGAGUGUACAAUCUGACAGCCAAAUCAGAACUAAUCUCUCAGUAUAUGGAACAUUUAACACAAGCUGUGGAGAGCUACAAGCAGCGGAUGGACUGGCUCACCAGCAACAGCCGGCAGAUCUUUGGUGUCAUCUUGGAGCAGUGCAUCACCAUAGUGCUGGAUUUUGGUGGCAUGCUGGAGGAGGAGCUUAAUCUGUGCCGAGAUGCUCUAACCAUGGUCCUCCAGGAGCAAGUGGCUCACAUAGCCAAGUUCAAUGUCAUAUGGGUUUCUCAAGAGCCUGUGAAAUGGCAGGAAAACGCUGUUCCUGUGACAGCACCAUCCAUAGCUGCCGCCAUCAGCUGGGUUGAGAAGUUGCCUUUUGAGCUGGCUUCAAGCCACACCAGCCGCCUGGAAGCUCUGCUGGAGGCGGGAAAGGAUGAAGUGAUUGAAUCCAUUUACUACUUCGUGGUGGGAGACGUUCCCGAGGAAUCCAAGGAGCUUCUCCUUCAGCAGGCUUUGGAGAUCCCCUGUCCUGUCUGCACGGUGUCCUUCAAUGCCAGAGGACAGGGCACCAUAGCCUUCCUGAAGGACUUGAGUGCCAAGACCUUCGGCAGAUUCCAUGCAUUUGCAGAGAGAACAGAGUGCGUAGAAUUUCCUGCCUUUCCCAUUAAGGAUGGUGACAGUGUGAUUACUUGGAAUUCAAGGAAACUGAAAGGAAAACUCCCUCCAGGAGCAGGGGUCAGAGAAGAUGUGUUUCUCAUCUGGAGGGAGAUGGAGGAAGCUGGCAGCACAUUGGCCCAGAUGCGGAGGCUGGUGGCCGAGACUCCCAAGACCAGUGUGGCCACAACAGACCAUGGAGCACAUGAGUCAAAUCCAGAGGACACCUGGGACUCAGAGAAGUGGCUUCAGAAAUAUGGUUUGAAAGCCCAGAAGCUGUCGUUUUACGAUGUCAUUGCUGACUGCUCCUUCCGCCACGCUGAUGGAGUUGUUGAUAUAAAAUCCAAACCAGGGAAUGAGUCGGUGCAGACCAGUGCGGAGACCAACAGGAAGACAGUCCAUGCGAAAUACUGUGGCAGAUUCAUCCACGCUCCCUGGAAGGAUGGGAGCUUGGUCCACGUCUGCAUCACCAAGGAGAAGUACAUGUGGUUCAGUGAAAGAGUUCACGCAGCCCUGGCCCAGAUCCAGAGGAGGAUUAAAUGGUUACAGGAUGGGAGUCGAGGCCUCUUUGGAAAAGUACCUAGUGAUUGUGUCUACAUCCUCAUCGACACGUCUCACUCAAUGACAGGGAAACUGGACCUGGUGAAGAACAAGGUCAUCCAGCUCAUACAGGAACAGUUGAAACAUAAAAAGAAAUUCAAUUUUGUGCAGUUUGAUGCUCAAGCCAGUGCUUGGCAGGAAAAACUUGUUGAAAUCAAUGAGGAUAAUCUGAAAGGGGCCCAGGCCUGGAUUAGAGACAUUAAGAUUGGAAGUUCCACAAACACCCUGAGUGCCCUGCAAAUUGCUUUUGCUGAUGAAGAAACACAAGUAAUCUACCUUUUGACAGAUGGGAGACCUGAUCAGUCACCUGAAAUGGUUAUGGACCAGAUCAAAGUUUUUCAGAAAAUUCCUAUUUACACCAUCUCCUUCUGUUACAAUGAUGAGAUUGCAGAUGGAUUUUUGAAAGACCUUGCUUCUUUGACUGGAGGAGAGUUUCAUUCUUAUAAUUUUGGCUGGAAGGAUCCCUGUACUCCAGAGGCUGUUCAGAAUGAAGAUCUGACUCUUUUAAUUAAGGAAAUGGAGCAAGGACGCAAUGAUCUAGAGAAGGUGCAAGGCCUUUACUCAGAGUCAUUGGUCAUGGACUGGUGGUACAAUGCAGAAAAAGAUGGAGACAAGCAUCAAAAGGAAAUUUGUUCCAUGAUUUCAACCCCAGAAAAAUGUGCAAAACCUCAUGCUGAUGUCAAAUCAUCACAAAUGCCAAAAAUACCAGAGGACCCAUCAAGUCAAAAGAUUCAGAGAAAGAAAGUGCUCCAUGCAGAACCAACCAAAACCAGCCUGCUCAGAAGCCAGCUGACCACCCUCAAGAGCUCAGCCUGCAAUGAGAGGAGGGACAGGCUUUCUAGUUCUAGCAGCUGGAACAUGCCAAGUGACAGGGAAAUGGGCAUCCUGCUGACAAAUGAGUUUCCAGAUGACAAGUCAUUAGAAAGAUUGACUCAAGAAGGAAGCCAAGCUUAUGACCAAGAUUCUGCAGAAAUGUCUUCAGCAACCUGGCUCAAGAUCCACGGCUUGGCGGCCAAGAAGCUCACCAUCAUGGAUGCUUUGUCCAUGGCUGCCAUUCCUCAUAGCUCCACCUACGUCCCUGUUCUGGACAAGCACGUUGUUUCCAAAGUCUUUGAUGAGGUGUUCCCUCUGGCACAUGUGUGCAAUGACACAAAUAAGAUGACUUUAAUUAACCCCCAAGGAGUGAAGCUCAAUAUCUACAAGCAAAAAGUGGAACAGGCAAUUAAGUCCUAUGAAAAGCGCUUGAAUAAAAUUGUUUGGCGAGCAUUAUCUCCAGAGGAAAAAAAAAAGUUAGAUGCAAACAAACCAAUGCGGUACUUAGAAAACAAGGCAGCUUUGAAUGAGGCAUUAGAAAGGUUGAAUUGGCCCAUUUCACUGAAGGAGCUGUCCUUGCUGGAGAAUGAAAUCCUAGCUGGGAAAAUGUACGUGCAGCAGGCCAUGGAGCUCCAAGAGGCUGUCAAGAAGGAGAAUUAUGUAAGCAAAGCACUCGAAGAGCAACAGAAAAUUCAAGGAAUUCCAACAAAGAAAAACAAAUCAAAAAAAUUGGAUCCACUCAGAGGCCAGAAGGUUAUUGCAAGAUGUGAUGAAAAUGGCUUUUAUUUUCCAGGUAUUGUAAAGAAGUGUGUGAGCCCCACCCAUGCACUUGUGGGCUUCAGGUAUGGAGACACCAAGGUUGUGCCCAUCUCGUUCAUCACGCCGGUGGGGGGCGCCAUGCCCUGCCCACUGCUCCAGGUUGGAGAUUAUGUGUUUGCCAAAAUUGUGAUCCCCAAAGGAUUUGACUUCUAUGUCCCCGCCAUUGUUAUUGCACUUCCAAAUCAAGAUAUGGCUGACAGUAAAUUCUACACAGUUUUAAAGUGUAACAACCGGAGAGAAUUUUGCCCUCGGAGUGCACUCAUUAAGAUCAGCCAAAACAAAUAUGCUCUCUCUUGCUCUCAUAUUAACUCACCCCCAAUUCAGGAGGAUUCAAAAGUGGAAGAUAUGGACACAAAGAACUCUUCUCUCCUAGUAUGGCCAAUCAAAGAAGUUAACACAGGGGAUUUACAAGCUACAAAACAGGAGAACCCUAGAAGGAAGAAAAAGAAAGCCAGCAAGAGGCUACCUCUCCAGGAGGUGGUCUCCUCAGACUCAGAUGACUCUUCCCGUGGCAACAGGUCCCGAGACUCCCACCCUAAGAGACACCCGAAGCCCAAGCUGGGAGGGGGACAUCAUGUCUCCCAGGAACACCCUGAAGUCUCUCUCAAGGAUAGUGCAUGUGAGCUCACACCCCAGUUUCCAGGUCAGUUUAGGCCCCAGCACAGCAAAAUCUCGAACACCCUUAAGUAA